AGAACGAACGCUGGCGGCGUGCUUAACACAUGCAAGUCGAACGCGAAAGUACCGCUUCGGUGGUACAAGUAGAGUGGCGCACGGGUGAGUAACGCGUAGGUAAUCUACCCUUAUAUUUGGGAUAACAUACCGAAAGGUCUGCUAAUACCGGAUACGCUUAAAAAUACGCGAGUAUUAUUAAGGAAAGGUAACCACUGAUAUAAGUUAUCGUAUAAGGAUGAGCCUGCGUACCAUUAGCUGGUUGGUGGGGUAACGGCCUACCAAGGCAACGAUGGUUAGCGGGUCUGAGAGGAUGAUCCGCCACACUGGAACUGGAACACGGACCAGACUCCUACGGGAGGCAGCAGUGAGGAAUAUUGCGCAAUGGGGGAAACCCUGACGCAGCGACGCCGCGUGGGUGAUGAAGGCUUUCGGGUCGUAAAGCCCUGUCAAGUGGGAAGAAGUGCAUGUAGGGUAAUACUCUACAUGUUUGACGGUACCACUACAGGAAGCACCGGCUAACUCCGUGCCAGCAGCCGCGGUAAUACGGAGGGUGCGAGCGUUGUUCGGAAUUACUGGGCGUAAAGGGCGCGUAGGCGGCUAUAUAAGUCGGGUGUGAAAGCCCACGGCUCAACCGUGGAA
rnacentral:rRNA from 1 species